ACGGGGCCGCACAAGCGGUGGAGCAUGUGGUUUAAUUCGACGCAACGCGAAGAACCUUACCAGGGCUUGACAUCCCCUGACCGCGUAUGAAAGUACGUUUUCACCCUCGGGUGACAGGGAGACAGGUGGUGCAUGGUUGUCGUCAGCUCGUGUCGUGAGAUGUUGGGUUAAGUCCCGCAACGAGCGCAACCCUUAUUGCUAGUUACCAUCAUUGAGUUGGGGACUCUAGCGAGACUGCCAGCGAUAAGCUGGAGGAAGGUGGGGAUGACGUCAAAUCAUCAUGCCCCUUAUGACCUGGGCUACAAACGUGAUACAAUGGCUGGAACAAAGGGAGGCGAAGGGGUGACCUGGAGCGAAACCCAAAAAUACAGUCUCAGUUCGGAUUGAAGUCUGCAACUCGACUGCAUGAAGUUGGAAUCGCUAGUAAUCGUGGAUCAGCCAAGCCGCGGUGAAUACGUUCCCGGGCCUU
rnacentral:rRNA from 1 species